rnacentral:misc_RNA from 1 species
UUUAAAAUGGCGACGACAGGGAGAGGUAUUAUCCUGAGCGGGAAAUUGAAAAAGAAAACUGAUCGCAGUCGACGUGAUGUUAAUUCACCAAGGUGUCAGCCAUACAAGGUUAUACGUCGAGAUGCAUGUCGAGUAUAUGAUCGGAUUUACGCAGCUAUAUAUGGUCAAUGCGUUGGAGAUGCCCUGGGAUUAUUGACAGAAACUCAAUCUAAAGAAGAGGCUAAAAAGCUAUAUGGGCCUGUGUGCAACAAGUUCCAGCUAGUCCACAAGAAAAUGUUGGCAGAUGCACAUCGUCGCAAGUGGGAUGUGUAUGACUGGACAGACGAGACAGAUCACAUGAUCCUCCUCAUUCAGUCCCUGGUGGAGAACAAGGGGCAGGUGGUGCCCGAGGACAUAGCCAAGCGGUUGAUGGAAUGGUUGGAGCGUGGCUUCCCGGAGCUGGGAGAUGUGUGUGGCCCUGGGUUGUGUAGCUUCACCAAGAAUGUUGUCAACCAUCCACAGUUCUCAGAGGCACCUGACAAGGCAGCUGAGAUUGUGUGGCGAGACUGUCGCAGUCUGAGAGCCACCAACUGUGCCCUGGCCCGCGCCCCCAUGUCUGGAAUACAUUACUACCAUGUGCUGGGCAAGGUGAUCAAGAACUCCCUGGAUAUAUGCUCCAUCACGCAUGUGGAUCCCAGCUGUCAAGCCUCAUGUGUUGCUGUGGCAACUGUCAUGUCGGCUCUGCUACAGAAAGAUGAGAAACACUUGAAGAAGACUGGAGACUAUGAUAUAGAUUCUAUAAUUGAGGAGGCCUUCUCCUAUGGCUGUCGGUGUAUGCUGGGGCAGCCUUAUUCUGACAUUAAGGAGUUCAAGAAGAUCCUGUACACAACAUCGCUAAAAGAUCUGAAGCUGGAUGAGAGAGGCAAGAUCAAUCACACUUACAAGACCCUUGGAGCUGGGUUCUGGGCUCUUAAACAGAAGGACUUCCGUACUGCUAUACGAGACAUUGUCAUGGAGGUGAGGCCAUAGCUAGACUGUUAGCAGGAUGAGGAAGUGGACUUGCCGUAUUCUGUCUGACUGGGUGGAGAUGCUGAUGCUAAUGCAUCUCUGGCGGGGGCCUUCCUGGGAUGUAAGCUGGGACUCGACGCGAUCCCCACCACCUGGAUCCAGGACCUCAAGCACCGGCGCUGGCUGGACAAAGUG